UACGUAGGGGGCAAGCGUUAUCCGGAUUUACUGGGUGUAAAGGGAGCGUAGACGGUUAUGCAAGUCAGAAGUGAAAGCCCAAAGCUCAACUUCGGGACUGCUUUUGAAACUGUGUAACUAGAGUGCAGGAGGGGUAAGCGGAAUUUCUAGUGUAGCGGUGAAAUGCGUAGAUAUUAGGAGGAACACCGGCGGCGAAGGCGGCUUACUGGACUGUAACUGACGUUGAGGCUCGAAAGCGUGGGGAGCAAGCAGG
rnacentral:rRNA from 1 species